UACGUAGGGACCGAGCGUUGUCCGGAAUCAUUGGGCGUAAAGAGCGUGUAGGCGGCCACUUAAGUCCUGCGUGAAAUCCUGCGGCUCAACCGCAGGCGGUCGUGGGAAACUGGGUGGCUAGAGUGCGGGAGAGGAGAGUGGAAUUCCUGGUGUAGCGGUGGAAUGCGCAGAUAUCAGGAAGAACACCCGUGGCGAAGGCGGCUCUCUGGAACGCAACUGACGCUGAGACGCGAAAGCGUGGGGAGCGAUCCGG
rnacentral:rRNA from 1 species